rnacentral:rRNA from 1 species
UGGGGAAUAUUGCACAAUGGGCGCAAGCCUGAUGCAGCCAUGCCGCGUGUAUGAAGAAGGCCUUCGGGUUGUAAAGUACUUUCAGCGAGGAGGAAGGUGUUGUGGUUAAUAACCGCAGCAAUUGACGUUACUCGCAGAAGAAGCACCGGCUAACUCCGUGCCAGCAGCCGCGGUAAUACGGAGGGUGCAAGCGUUAAUCGGAAUUACUGGGACGUAAAGCGCACGCAGGCGGUCUGUCAAGUCGGAUGUGAAAUCCCCGGGCUCAACCUGGGAACUGCAUCCGAAACUGGCAGGCUAGAGUCUUGUAGAGGGGGUAGAAUUCCAGGUGUAGCGGUGAAAUUGCGUAGAGAUCUGGAGGAAUACCGGUGGCGAAGGCGGCCCCCUGGACAAAGACUGACGCUCAGGUGCGAAAGCGUGGGAGCAAGCA